rnacentral:lncRNA from 1 species
CUGUCCCCAACCCAAGGCCCCAUCCCAAGACCCCAGACCCCAUCCCCGUCCCUGUCCCCAUCCCAGGCCCCAUUCCUGUCCCCAUCCCUACCCCAAGGCUCCAUCCCAAGGCCCCAUUCCUGUCCCUGUCCCCCUCCCAGGCCCCAUUCCCGUCCCAUCCCCAUCCCAAGGCCCCACCCCGGUCCCAGCCCCCCUCCCAAAUCCCCAUCCCCCUCCCCGUCCCCAUUCCGUGCCCCCCCAGGACGAAGCCCCCGCCCCUGCCCCCCCCUCCUCACUCCCCCGCCGCCGCCCACCGCGGCCAAACCGGAGUGACUCCGGAGCAGCUGUGAGGCGCCUGAGGUGUUCGCCGAGCUGGUUGGCUGGGAGAGCUGUCAAUCAGCGCCGCCAACCCGCCUUCUCGACGAUUCCAAACGCGGAUUGGCUGAGCGCCGCGUCCGUCUUAAAGGCUCCGCCCUCCCUGAGGGGAGCCGGCUGCUGAUUGGCCCGCAGCCCACCCCCGCGGUUUCCAGGCCACCCUCUCGGUCUCUAAGCCACAGCUGCCCUCACACCGUGGGAGCGGAGCGCCCGGAAGGAGCUGAUUGGACCCUCGCGCCGUCAAUCCUCAACACCCACCCUUCCAAUUGGCUCACCAUUCCACCCCCCACCCUGAUUGGCCAACACCCCCUUUAACCCCUCCCCCUCCUUCCCUGCGCUGCCAUCCCGCCCUCUCUCCCCAUUGGUUCCCGCGCCUGUCAAUCCUCUCUUUAUCCCCUCCCAUCCCGCUGGGAGCCGCCGCUGAUUGGCUGGCGGCGGCGGCGAGGCGCUUCCGGCGCCUUCUCGUGGGUCCCCCCGCUGAGGGGGCUGAGGGGGGCGGCGGCCGCCAUGUCGAGCCCGGCGAAGCGCCCGGACGCCUCCGACCUCCUGGAGCGCUGCGGCGGCUGCCGGGAGCGCCUCAGGGCCGCCAGGGAGCCGAGGCUGCUGCCCUGCCUCCAUUCGCUCUGCCGACAGUGCCUGCAGCCCGGCCCGGGGCCGGCGGCCGCCAACGGGGGGCCGAGUGAGGGGGCAGGUGA